CUUCGCUCGUACAAAGUGCCGUGCAGUAGAUGUCGACACAUACUCCUGUUCCACGACGUUUUGCCCAAAACUGAGUAAUCCAUUUAUUCCGGUGCAUUACAAUGUUCUUCGGUGGGCCUCUCCAGUUUUGAACAGAAGCCAGGACCAUGAUAGUCACCCCCGAGCGUCCGCUACGUGUGACGUUGUCUCCGUCGCGCCUCCCAAGGAUAUCCCAACGUAUCAGUCUCGCGCCACUCCGUCCCUCUGAAUACCAGUGGGUUAUUUCAUACGCGAAAGAACGAUUACUACAGGCCCUCCCACCUGGAUUUUUAGGUGAGGAGCAGGGGGCCUGAAUCAAGUAAUGAUGCGUUGGUAGCGCAGCAAAACCAUCGGCCAGUUACGAGUGACACACCAUCGUAGGCGGGUCCAUUACUAGCUCGACGCAGUUUGUUUCCAACGUGUACAUUUCGCCGUCGCAUAUCGUGUGAGUCCACUACAGUCAGGACACCUUUCACGGCCGGGCAAUUCCCCCGCUGCUUCGGGUCCCAGUUUUUAGUCCUCGCUUACAUAAAGCAGAAUUUGCCCCUUUGCUUCGACGGAGAGCCGCCUGCAGUUAGUCAGCUCCGCCUGCGCGAUGCUCUCUCUCUGUGGACGACGCUAAGCGUGUAGUACUCCACCGAACCCAGUGUGUAAUGCUCUUUCAACCGCCCGCAGUCCGGAAGGGGAAAAAGUGUGUUCUGUAGCCCUAAAUCAUUUCUGGCUUCGCUGUAGAAAGCCAGUCAUGUUUGCUUUCACCGUUCGGGCGAGCCGGGAUCC
rnacentral:lncRNA from 1 species